CCAGUUGAGCGCAAACCACGCCCCCAACGCGAAAACCCCACCCCGCAGCCAUGACUCAAGUCUCUGGCUUGAUUUCAUUGGUCAACCCUGUUACGUCACCUGAGAAGAUGUUUGGACAAGGUCGUUGAUGGAUCCGUCGCUGACAAACGGAGAGUACGCAUGUUUAGGCUGUGGAGAAGACCAAGCCGUAACGUUACAUCUGAAGAACUGGUUGCCUCCUGGGUAUAAAUAUCACUUCUGCACCUAUCGUUUGUGCACUACACAAGGCGAUUCACACCUGGACCACACAAGUUUUGAGGCAUCACUAAGAAUUGCGUUGACAGAGAU